rnacentral:lncRNA from 1 species
AUUCAGACCUUGACAGUUGUAACCGAUAGACUGGGCUGGGGCAACGCUGAUGAAAGGCAAAUUCCUGAGAGAAAAAUCACCCAGAUUAGCAUUUUGGUGUGGAUACAGAAGACGAGAUUAACACAGAUCAAGUAACAUGGAAAUAAAAAAGGAGACAAUGCUGGAUGAUACAGGGGCAGCCAACAAGAGGAGAAAACCCAAGCAUUGGCAAAUGCCUCAUUAUCCAAAGAACACUGGGCCUCAGAGUAUGUCAGCUGGGGUCAGACGGGAACAGGAGUCUGGCUCAACACACAUUUAUUGCACUCCUGUUUCAUGCCAAGAAAUGUACCAAAAUCUGGGACUGUGUAACACAGCAAAGGAAAAGACUCAUCUCCAGGAAGCCCCCUUGUCUAGGAAGAGAAAUUGAAUAUCAGCAUAAGGUGGUGAAAAGCUGUGAAGGAGAUGAGUGCCAGGAGUCCAUGGAGGAAGGAUUCUAGCCUGGACAGGUGAGGAAUGGCUUUCUGGAAGAAGCAGAUGCCCCAGCUGAACUUUAAAAUGCCCAUGUGAAAUGAACUGUCUGUAUCUUCAAUCAGCAAAUGGAGUAGGUGGCCACUGUUUAAUUCUGGAAUGGGGAAGUGUAAAGGUGUGGUGUGUGUGUUUACCCCUACUUAGGGAUUCAAAACAGACAGUAAAGAACAAAAGUCUAGCCCUUUGAGCAUUCUCCAUGGGACAUUUGAGGUCUAGCUGGCCCCAGAGAAAGAGAGACAGAAGCAAGGUCAUAUCCAUUUGAGAAAAUCAAAGUGUCUGCUCCAAUUGAGUCUGGUGUCCUUAUUCCUGGAAUAGCCAUCCCUACUGCUCUGGUGCUGAUUUACCUCCGGCAGUUCAGUGCUUCCUGGAAGGUAGGCUGGGCUUUUUAACAAAGUGACUCCUUACUUGACAUGUUUUACCCAAACACAGAGGCCACUGCACUAUGUGCAAGAAACAACAAAAAAUUAAAUGAGACUCAAUGCCUUCCUUAGGGAUCUAAAACCCCAGUAACACAGAUAAACAGGUAAACAAAUAAUGUGAUGGUGUGAUUCUAUAGCAACAGGAAUAGAGCACUGCAGGGCCACCGAAGGAAAAGGUGAUGACCUGGCUUGGAUUCAGUGAUAAAAAGGGGCUUACCUCCUUUCUCUGUUUCUGCUAAAAGCCAGUGAUUACCCCCUGCUUUUCCCAUGUUGGGCAUAGCUGUAAGUACUUUAGACAUAGCGGCACAUUUAAUCAUCAUGCAACAAUAAGAGGAAGCUGAGGCAGACAGAAGUGCCCAAAGUCACAUACUUGAAGCCAGGACUUGAACCUGGGCUAUCUGGCUCCUGAAUCCAUGGCUUUCACUAAUAAUGACUUACCCUCCAAUGAGGAACAAGCUCCAUUCUGGCCUUUCUUUAGCGAAGGCAACUGCCUGAGCUCAUGGUCUGAUCUGGCUUCUGGGAAAGAGAAAGCAGGGGAAACGUCUAGAGAUGGCAUACUGGGAGAAGAAAUUUCUUGCUGUGGAAUCCUGCCCCCAUCUCCCUCCCCACCAUACACAAUCCCACGUGCAUUUACACCUACACGCCGUGUACACACGAACAUUUUUUCUGCUACUCCCAUGGGCCCCAACUCUGCCUUUUCAUCAAAAUCACCCAGAGUUUUAAAUAAAAUGCAGAUGUUGAGGCUUGUUCCUAAAUUAUAAUCUUGGGCAUCUAAAUUUUUUGAUUAAAAAAAAUUGACAUGCAUGCUUAAAGUAAAAAUUUAGACAAUACAGCAAAGAAUGUGUUUGUACCCCUCCCACCUAGCCCUUAGUUCUUCCGAAAGGCAAAUACUUAACCGUUCCUUGUUAUCCUUCCAGAAAACAAUAUAUGCAUAUAUUCAUCUUUUUUUUCUUCUUCCUCUGUAGGUGAUUGUGGUGAAUAGUCAUGAGAAUCUGGGAACUGGCUCCUGCUCUGUCUAUCUUGGAGAUGCAUCUUUUGUGAGAAGCCAGGGCAAGAAUAGGGAGGCUUAGGCAAUGGGAAGUUUCUGAGUAGAUAAAGCAGAUGGCAGAGCAAAGGGACAGAGCCUGGCGAGAGGCUACUCCCUGUAGCAACCUGCCUAAGAGUGAGAGGAAAGCAAGGCAUGGCUAUGAGCACGUGUAGUCUCAGCUACUUGGGAAGCUGAGGCUGGGGGAUCACUUGAGCCCAGGAGUUCAAGACCAGCCUAGGCAACAUAGUGAGACCAUGUCUCUUUAAAAAAAAAAAAAAAAAGAAAAA